rnacentral:rRNA from 1 species
UACAGAGGUGGCAAGCGUUGUUCGGAAUUAUUGGGCGUAAAGGGCUCGUAGGUGGCCAACUAAGUCAGACGUGAAAUCCCUCGGCUUAACCGGGGAACUGCGUCUGAUACUGGAUGGCUUGAGUUCGGGAGAGGGAUGCGGAAUUCCAGGUGUAGUGGUGAAAUGCGUAGAGAUCGGGAGGAACACCUGUGGCGAAGGCGGCCCCCUGGGCCGGCCCUGACACUGAGACGCGAAGGCGUGGGGAGCGAACGGG